UGGGGCGUCGCCAAACGGUAAGGCAGCGGGCUCUGACCCCGCCAUUUGUAGGUUCGAUUCCUACCGCCCCAGCCA
rnacentral:tRNA from 1 species